rnacentral:lncRNA from 1 species
CCACCGCUCUCCAAGGACUCUCGAGCAGCUCCAUCUACAGAUUCACAUGGAGAAGAAUUAAGGGUUCCUGCCAAUCACCAGCACCACUUUGCCAGCCUUGUAAGUGGGCCACCUUGGAAUUGGAGCCUCCAGUUCCUACUGACAUCUGACUGCAACAUCAUGAGAGACCCUGAGUUUGAACCACCCAGCUGAGCUGCUUCUGAGCUAACCCACUGAAACCGUGAAAGUACCUGAAUGAAACAACACCCAGUAGCCACUAGCACACCUAGCUCCCAGAUCUGUUUUUGAUGCCAUUCUUCAGUAAAAGGAAGCAAGGCUGCUUGGAGAAAUUGCUAUCAAGGACUGGGGUAGAAAAUAUACAAGAUGAAAUUGGAGCAUCUUGUAGUGCUUGAAAACAGUUGGCAUCUGUGUGAAGAUGUGAAUGGAGGAGGCAGAGUAGGCAGUGAGUGCCGCAGCCACAGCUUGUGUUCUCUGCAGCCCUGGCACAGAAGAUAGGAACACUCAUGGGGGAUGCGGCCACUGUGAUGUCUUCCCACACAAGAAGUGCCAAGUGCUUUUCUCAUGCUUUUCUGGAUUGUCCCAUGGUGGACGAGUCAGCAGGAGUGAGAUGGAGCAGCACAGUAGAGGGGUUCCUUAGAUCCUGGGAUGAGGAGGUGGACCAGCAGAAGGUGGGCUUGUGAAGGCAGCCCGGGGUCCAAAUCCUCCUGGCUCUUCAGCUUAGCGGGAUGUCACCUUCAGCGUCUGAAAGCUGGGUUUGAUGCGUCUGGAAAGGCGUCCCUGACAGGCGUCGUUGCCAGGAGCCCCUAGUGCCACCAGCAGCCAGCAGGGGAGGGCGUCCUCUGCCCGCUCACUUCUGACCCUUCUCUCGUUGCACCCGGAACAUGGUGCAGCUGGGAGCAGCCUGGGCUGCGCGGAAGGCUCAGAUUUGGGGACGGCCCUUGCCAGUGACUGUGAGCUGGGGUGUCUUGGAAACUCCCAGUCUCAGCUUCUCCAUUUAUAAGAUGAGAAUGAUCAUACCAGACUCAGGCAAGGUUGUUUGUGCAUUAGUGAAAUCAGACGUAUUAAAUAAAGUACCACAUU